GCUCCCCCACACCCCUGCCGCCGCCGCCGCCUUGCUUCCGCCCCGCCGCCCCAUGCCGCUGCCUCGUUUCCCUCCGUCCGCCGCCCGCAGAGGAACGUGAAGAUUCAGUUUUUUUGGAGAAGACCGCCCAACGCCCAACGCCCGCUCUCCUUCCGCAUGUGCCCGUCGUCGACCACCUCCUCGCCGUCGACCACGAAGCUAGCACCCUCCAUGGAGGUUUUCGACCUGAGCAGUGGGAAGCACGUGUGCCCCUUUUCCACUUCCAAGCUGGAGCACUACGCGGCUUCACCGACAUCGAUUACAUCUCGCCGGAGCAUUACGCGGCUGCACCAAGGAGUCCGCCAGAGUCAAAGGUCUCAUUUUCCCCCUUCUCCUCCCUUCAGUCUCUUGCAAUUUAUUUUUCAUCUUCUUCGAUUGGUCUACCGGAAAUGGAACAGAGCUAAACAGAGCAAGCUAGAGUUGCAUGGUGGCGUUCGUGGUGAGGGACAAGCCAUCAGGUUGAGAGUAUCUCUAUUCUCUAGGAGAGCCUGCACCAUGUUAAACCUCCACUUGCAGAGUUGUUGUUUUCAAUUAACUGAAAUUACACCAAAGAAUUUCAGUUAAAAGAUGUCCUCUUGCACUGAACCUGAACUAAAACUGAUCGAUAUUUUAGCAUUUUCUGUUUCAGGAUUGGCUAAAAUAGUGCUGAGAUGGAUGGAAGAACCCUUAAGUUUGUUGUUCCUCUUUUAAAAAAUAAAAGUUCGUUGUUCCUGCAUUGAACGGUUAAGCAGGGUCAUGUUGUGAUAAAUCCCUUUGUCAAUUUCAGGUGUCCAUCAAGUAUGGAUGGGGUGGAGUAUGAGAAUUUUGCUUUGUGUCAAUAUCAGUUGUCGAUCAAGUAUGGAUGGGGUGGAGCAUGACAGUAAAUUUCAGCACAAGCAUGGCCAUCCACCAACACGCAAAACAAGUUCAAGACCAAAAAUAUGUGUUUCUUGCUGUUUACUCAACUGAACCAGAUUUGGGUUUUCAAGUUCCAAGGUUUCUGCUAACAGCAUACAGAUUAAAUUGAAAAACUGGAUUCAUCUAAAUCAUGGACAGUUCAAAACCAAUUAUUUCCAAACCAAUUAUUUCUAGCUUGCUCCCUCCACCCCCCCCCCCUGAUAUCUACUGUUUUUUAUUCAAUUAACACUAAUCAUAUUCAGUUAACAGGAGCAGAGCAGUUCUUCUUGACGAACAGGAGUAGAGCAGCAACUCCCGUACACUGAUCAUAUUCAGCACAGGGACCAGAGGAGCAACUCCUUGCGGUACCUUCUUCUUCUUGACGAGCAGGAGCUCUGGUGGCAGCACGGGCAGACGAGCAGCAGCAGCACCGGCGGUAGGGGAGAAGCAGCCGCACGGGCUCGCGCGGAAGAUUGAGGAGGGCGCGCGGGCAGGGGAGAAGGAGGACGCGCGCGAGCUCCUGGUCCACCGGAUCGUGGAGGCAAUUUCCGGCGACGCCUGUAGGGGAUCGCGACCGGGAUGAAUUGCGGCGGCGCACGCGUGGGAGCUCGAGGAGGAUGCACUGGAGCUUGAGGAGGAUGUGCUGGAGCUUGAGGAGGAUGCACUGGACCUCGAGGAGGACGCCCGCGAGCUCGAGGAGGACGUGGCCGGAGGUCCCGACGAUGCCCGCAGGUAAUCGAGGCGGGAGGGGAUCGCGGCGACGCAGGUCUGAGCGGGGAAGGCGGCGGAGCAGGUACUUGGCGGCGGCGGCGGCGGAGCAGGUAGGUGGCGACGGCGGAGGAGCACUUCCUGAUGGGCGGCGAGUCGCGCAGCUGGGCGGCGCCGGCCCCUAUCGACGACGGAGGAAGAAAACAGGGGGCGGAGGGGCUUGUUUCAGACGAUUUUAAAACUACAAGGGCUUUUUUGCAAAAUCAACAUUGAACUGCGCCCGCGACAUGUUUUUCGGGACGGAGGGAGUAUGUUGCUGCGCUUUUGGUGGCUCCGAUAACUGUCCGUCGUCCUCUCCAUGGACCAUGGCUCCAUGUGCUGCGCUGCACGUACUGCUGCAGCACUUGUUUAUGAUUGUUGCCAUGCUUUCCUGUUGCUGUUGUCAUCGUCAAGAAGAGUUCAUUGGAGAUGCUACUAGUACAAUUCCAGAACCAGAAGAGAUCUUUCCUCCCCAUUGUGAUUAGAAUAGUAGUACGAUUGUCCUCCGACAUUACAGUUGUAGGAGAAUGAUGGCGUUGCCCGUGGAACUGAUUUGGCCGAGGUGGUUCGCAUGAUGGAAACCUGGCCACAGGAACUUCUCCACAGAUUUUAUAUUUCCCAAGUCACUUUUGCAUA